AAAAGAAGAGAAAAAAAAAUACAUAUUUAAAAAGAUAAUGUACUAAUUUGUAUCGCACUUAGAGAAGAAUGAAAAAUAUCGAAAUUUUUUUGUAGAUUAUUACAGGAAACAAGUGCUCGGUUAAUGGGGAAAAAAAAACCGUAAAGUGUUUUGUGCUUAGUGAUGUAAAAAGUUUCUAGAAUUAAAUGCAAGGACUGAUAUAUUUAAUAGACCAAAAAGAAAGCUGUCAUUUAAAGAGCCAUGCAGGAUUUUGUAAAUAAAAAUGACAAUAAAUAUAAACGUCUGGAGCUCAAAGAGUUGAUAUUAACUAAUCUCUUAAAAGGUUCGUAAUGAAGGUUAUGCGAUUAGUAGGUAUUUUAAAAUUAAUAUAUCUUAGAAAUUUAUUCUGAACUCUUUCAAUUUUAUUUAUCCAAACGAGUUGAUAAGGAUUCUAAACGAUGGAACCAUACUCAAGUAUCAAACGAACUAGAGAGAAGUAUAGUUUUCAGAGAUAAUAUGUUGUUAAAGUCACCAGUGUUUCUAAUAAUAAAGCCAAGCGACCAUGUAGCUUUUACUAUUAUUGAUUGGAUGUGCAUUGAAAAUGAAAGUGAACUUGAAAAGACAAUACCAAGGUCCUUAAUCAAGUCAACUUUAGGUAGCAUAAUGUUACCAGAGAAGUAGUCAAAGUUUAGAGAAGAUUUAUUUAGAUAAAAAGAAAUGGAAUAAAAUUUGAUAAUGUUGAUUUAUAGAUCAUUAUUGGAACAUCAAUUUCUAAAAUAAUUAAAGUCCUCUUGCAAUUUUGAGCUAUCAUCUAAGGAAUUAAUAUUAUAAUAUAAUUUUAAGUCGUCUGCAUACAUGUUAAAUUGUACAUGCUUAAAGAUUAAUCCAGCAUCAUUAAUAUACAAAAUAAACAGCAAAGCGAAAAUAUGACGUCCCUGAGGAACACCUGAGAGGACAAAGAUAUUAUUCAAAAUAUAUCCAUUAAGGCUUAUUUUUUGAGACCUAAAUGAAAUAUAUGAACUGAACCAUUUCAAAAUAUUAUUAUAAACACCCAUCAAUUCUAGUUUACGGAUCAGAAUGGCAUGGUUAAUACUAUCAAAUUUUGUGAAAUUUUCAGAUCUACACAGUUAUCUUUAACCAAAUGACAACAAAACAACAAAAUUGAAAAGUAAUAAACAGUUCUUACUGUUGUGACUUUACACGCGAAGGACAGUCUAUAACACUGUUCAUUUUCUCAGUUUUUCCUAAUUAUUAAGAAAACUACAAAGAAAAUCAAAAAAAUACACCCAUGGGAACCAACUAAAUAAAAU